rnacentral:rRNA from 1 species
UAACAUAAAGAAGCUUGCUUCUUUGAUGACGAGUGGCGGACGGGUGAGUAAUGCUUGGGAAUCUAGCUUAUGGAGGGGGAUAACUAUUGGAAACGAUAGCUAAUACCGCAUAAAAUUGAUUAUUGCAUGAUAAUUAAUUGAAAGAUGCAACUGCAUCACUACCAGAUGGACCUGCGUUGUAUUAGCUAGUUGGUGAGGUAACGGCUCACCAAGGCGACGAUACAUAGCCGACCUGAGAGGGUGAUCGGCCACACUGGGACUGAGACACGGCCCAGACUCCUACGGGAGGCAGCAGUAGGGAAUCUUCGGCAAUGGGGGGAACCCUGACCGAGCAACGCCGCGUGAGUGAAGAAGGUUUUCGGAUCGUAAAGCUCUGUUGUAAGAGAAGAACGGGUGUGAGAGUGGAAAGUUCACACUGUGACGGUAUCUUACCAGAAAGGGACGGCUAACUAUGUGCCAGCAGCCGCGGUAAUACGUAGGUCCCGAGCGUUGUCCGGAUUUAUUGGGCGUAAAGCGAGCGCAGGCGGUUAGAUAAGUCUGAAGUUAAAGGCUGUGGCUUAACCAUAGUAUGCUUUGGAAACUGUUUAACUUGAGUGCAGAAGGGGAGAGUGGAAUUCCAUGUGUAGCGGUGAAAUGCGUAGAUAUAUGGAGGAACACCGGUGGCGAAAGCGGCUCUCUGGUCUGUAACUGACGCUGAGGC